UAAGAUUUUAAUUGAAUGCUAAAAGAAUGGAAGUUUAAGAAAAAACUUUUUUAAAAAUAAAAAUUAAAUUUUUUUUAAUUUGUGCAAAACCAAUUAUUUAUAUUAAAGACAAGAAGACCCUAUGAAUUUAUGAUUAAAUAAACUAAAAAUUUUUGGUUUAUUUAAUCUUGAUUGGGGCAAUCAAAAAAUAUUAAUAACUUUUUUAAAUUUAAU
rnacentral:rRNA from 1 species